CAAUAAUAAUGAUAAGGAAUAUAAAUGUUAAGAAAGAAAUUAUCUAAAUAAAUUACAGUGUCCUUUUUUCUUUUCCUUAUUUUUUUGCUAAAAGGAGUUUGCCUACAAAUACCCACACACAGGCAGAUGAGCUGAGGAAGGACAGGCAGCAUUAAUUCUGCAUCACCCUGGCAGCUGCAGCAGAACACUGACUGUAUUCUGAGAUUUUAUGUUCCUAUUUUAGAGUCAACCGAUAUGCUGAGAUGUGUAAAACCAACCCUUUUACAGUAGCAUUAGGAAUAAAAUGGACAGCAACAAAAUUUAGGAGCACGUUUGUCAUUAUUCUAACCUCCCAGGAUGAAAUUCAGCCAAGUGUCUGAGAGACUGACCCAAAGAUGCCACGCUCUGCGCUACAGUGGAGCGGGGAAGGGGCAGCACAGUUUGCACAACAGCACGUACUGCCUGCGAGCCUCUAUGCUCGGAAUAAACCAUCAGGGACAGGACUGCACCAGACCUGCCGGAGGCUGAUGGAGGCUGAGGUCAGGGGAGCAGCGCCUCUGCGGGUUUGGCCAAAAGCUUUCUCAUAAGGACUAUGAACAACUCUUGGAAAUCAUGUUUUUUUUUUUUUUUUUUAAACACAUUUUUGGUUGAAUCUUUGCAGACACAAAGUGCCUACAGUUUGGAUGGUUAGAGUUGAAGAACAGCUAGCAUCUCAAAUGCAGUUUCAUGCAGUGGAGGUCCCUGGCACGACACCUGUGAACUGCCCAGAAACGCUCUGGGCACGCGCACACCCCGGCCCCACAACGCCCCGGCUAGCUUCAGCCCACCCUGACCCCCAGUGCCACAGAAAGCUCAGCGCGGAGCCAGCUGGCUCCAGAAGAAAUACAGCUGCCAGAAGUCAGGAUUUAUUUGCUCAGGUCAAAAGGGUGAAUUUCAUUGAAACAGAAUAAAAAUGUCCACCUGCAGAGAAUGCAAUGCAGGCGAGAAAACCGAGAAGGAAACGAGCCUGAAUGUGACUCACAUCACCACCAACGAAACACCGCCUGGUGCCUCGAACUAGGAGAAGAGGUUUUAACCCUGUGUAAGGAAACGGGUGAGCAGCGUGUCUUUGGUGAUGAACGCAAUCUCUAGAAGCCUAUUUCUUAGUGAGCAGUUUCUUAAGCAUAACAGUACUCCUUUAGCUUUUCUGUGCACAAAGCCUGAUACGGGUGUAUAUCUGGACAAACUUUCACUGUUUUCUUUUCCUUAGAGAUAACUCUCAGGACAGCUGCUCUGCUGAGCAUUAUUACAUCUACUCUGGGUACUUAUGACCUGCUAUAGCUGAGGGCAAGAUAUACUCUAUUUUAAUACUGUCUGGCAGUAUAAGCUUUACCAAAUAUUUUGUUUCUGCAAUAUUAGAAUCAUAACAAUAUCUGAGG
rnacentral:lncRNA from 1 species